UGCAGUCGAACGAGCUUCCGUUGAUGACGUGCUUGCACUGAUUUCAACAAUGAAGCGAGUGGCGAACUGGUGAGUAACACGUGGGGAAUCUGCCCAGAAGCAGGGGAUAACACUUGGAAACAGGUGCUAAUACCGUAUAACAACAAAAUCCGCAUGGAUUUUGUUUGAAAGGUGGCUUCGGCUAUCACUUCUGGAUGAUCCCGCGGCGUAUUAGUUAGUUGGUGAGGUAAAGGCCCACCAAGACGAUGAUACGUAGCCGACCUGAGAGGGUAAUCGGCCACAUUGGGACUGAGACACGGCCCAAACUCCUACGGGAGGCAGCAGUAGGGAAUCUUCCACAAUGGACGAAAGUCUGAUGGAGCAAUGCCGCGUGAGUGAAGAAGGGUUUCGGCUCGUAAAACUCUGUUGUUAAAGAAGAACACCUUUGAGAGUAACUGUUCAAGGGUUGACGGUAUUUAACCAGAAAGCCACGGCUAACUACGUGCCAGCAGCCGCGGUAAUACGUAGGUGGCAAGCGUUGUCCGGAUUUAUUGGGCGUAAAGCGAGCGCAGGCGGUUUUUUAAGUCUGAUGUGAAAGCCUUCGGCUUAACCGGAGAAGUGCAUCGGAAACUGAGAGACUUGAGUGCAGAAGAGGACAGUGGAACUCCAUGUGUAGCGGUGGAAUGCGUAGAUAUAUGGAAGAACACCAGUGGCGAAAGGCGGCUGUCUAGUCUGUAACUGACGCUGAGGCUCGAAAGCAUGGUAGCGAACAGGAUUAGAUACCCUGGUAGUCCAUGCCGUAACGAUGAGUGCUAGUGUUGGAGGGUUUCGCCCUUCAGUGCUGCAGCUACGCAUUAGCACUCGCUGGGAGUACGAC
rnacentral:rRNA from 2 species